UGGGGAAUAUUGCACAAUGGGCGAAAGCCUGAUGCAGCAACGCCGCGUGAGUGAUGAAGGUCUUCGGAUUGUAAAGCUCUGUCUUUUGGGACGAUAAUGACGGUACCAAAGGAGGAAGCCACGGCUAACUACGUGCCAGCAGCCGCGGUAAUACGUAGGUGGCGAGCGUUGUCCGGAUUUACUGGGCGUAAAGGGUGCGUAGGCGGAUGUUUAAGUGAGAUGUGAAAUACCCGGGCUUAACUUGGGUGCUGCAUUUCAAACUGGAUAUCUAGAGUGCAGGAGAGGAGAAUGGAAUUCCUAGUGUAGCGGUGAAAUGCGUAGAGAUUAGGAAGAACACCAGUGGCGAAGGCGAUUCUCUGGACUGUAACUGACGCUGAGGCACGAAAGUGUGGGUAGCAAACAGGAUUAGAUACCCUGGUAGUCCACGCCGUAAACGAUGAGUAUUAGGUGUAGGAGGUAUCGACCCCUUCUGUGCCGCAGUAAACACAUUAAGUACUCCGCCUGGGAAGUACGAUCGCAAGAUUAAA
rnacentral:rRNA from 1 species